rnacentral:rRNA from 1 species
GACGAACGCUGGCGGCGUGCUUAACACAUGCAAGUCGAACGGAAAGGCCUGCUUUCCCUUGUGGAUUGCGGGUACUCGAGUGGCGAACGGGUGAGUAACACGUGAGUGAUCUGCCCCCAACUUGGGUAUAAGCCUGGGAAACUGGGUCUAAUUCCCGAUAGGACUGCAGGGUGGUGCCUGUGGUGGAAAACGAUUUUCUAGUGGUUGGGGAUGAGCUCGCGGCCUAUCAGCUUGUUGGUGGGGUAAUGGCCUACCAAGGCGGCGACGGGUAGCCGGCCUGAGAGGGUGGACGGCCACAUUGGGACUGAGGUACGGCCCAGACUCCUACGGGAGGCAGCAGUGGGGAAUAUUGCACAAGGGGCGGAAGCCUGAUGCAGCGACGCCGCGUGGGGGAUGACGGCCUUCGGGUUGUAAACUCCUUUCGACCGCGAGGAAGCCACCUGGUUGGAAGGGUGGUGACGGUAGUGGUAGAAGAAGCACCGGCUAACUACGUG